GACGUAGGGCGCGAGCGUUGUCCGGAUUUAUUGGGCGUAAAGAGCUCGUAGGCGGCUUGUCGCGUCGACUGUGAAAUCCCGCGGCUCAACUGCGGGUCUGCAGUCGAUACGGGCAGGCUAGAGUUCGGUAGGGGAGACUGGAAUUCCUGGUGUAGCGGUGAAAUGCGCAGAUAUCAGGAGGAACACCGGUGGCGAAGGCGGUUCUCUGGGCCUUACCUGACACUGAGGAGCGAAAGCGUGGGGAGCGAACAGG
rnacentral:rRNA from 1 species